rnacentral:rRNA from 1 species
UACGUAGGUGGCAAGCGUUGUCCGGAAUUAUUGGGCGUAAAGCGCGCGCAGGUGGUUUCUUAAGUCUGAUGUGAAAGCCCACGGCUCAACCGUGGAGGGUCAUUGGAAACUGGGGAACUUGAGUGCAGGAGAGAAGAGUGGAAUUCCACGUGUAGCGGUGAAAUGCGUAGAGAUGUGGAGGAACACCAGUGGCGAAGGCGACUCUUUGGCCUGUAACUGACACUGAGGCGCGAAAGCGUGGGGGAGCGAACAGGA